GAUGAACGCUGGCGGCGUGCCUAAUACAUGCAAGUCGAGCGAACAGACGAGGAGCUUGCUCCUCUGACGUUAGCGGCGGACGGGUGAGUAACACGUGGAUAACCUACCUAUAAGACUGGGAUAACUUCGGGAAACCGGAGCUAAUACCGGAUAAUAUAUUGAACCGCAUGGUUCAAUAGUGAAAGACGGUUUUGCUGUCACUUAUAGAUGGAUCCGCGCCGCAUUAGCUAGUUGGUAAGGUAACGGCUUACCAAGGCAACGAUGCGUAGCCGACCUGAGAGGGUGAUCGGCCACACUGGAACUGAGACACGGUCCAGACUCCUACGUGAGGCAGCAGUAGGGAAUCUUCCGCAAUGGGCGAAAGCCUGACGGAGCAACGCCGCGUGAGUGAAGAAGGUCUUCGGAUCGUAAAACUCUGUUAUUAGGGAAGAACAAAUGUGUAAGUAACUAUGCACGUCUUGACGGUACCUAAUCAGAAAGCCACGGCUAACUACGUG
rnacentral:rRNA from 1 species